rnacentral:rRNA from 1 species
ACCUGUGUGACUGCGUACCUUUUGUAUAAUGGGUCAGCGACUUAUAUUCUGUAGCAAGGUUAACCGUAUAGGGGAGCCGGAGGGAAACCGAGUCUUAAUUGGGCGUUAAGUUGCAGGGUAUAGACCCGAAACCCGGUGAUCUAGCCAUGGGCAGGUUGAAGGUUGGGUAACACUAACUGGAGGACCGAACCGACUAAUGUUGAAAAAUUAGCGGAUGACCUGUGGCUGGGGGUGAAAGGCCAAUCAAACCGGGAGAUAGCUGGUUCUCCCCGAAAGCUAUUUAGGUAGCGCCUCGUGAAUUCAUCUCCGGGGGUAGAGCACUGUUUCGGCUAGGGGGCCAUCCCGGCUUACCAACCCGAUGCAAACUGCGAAUACCGGAGAAUGUUAUCACGGGAGACACACGGCGGGUGCUAACGUCCGUCGUGAAGAGGGAAACAACCCAGACCGCCAGCUAAGGUCCCAAAGUCAUGGUUAAGUGGGAAACGAUGUGGGAAGGCCCAGACAGCCAGGAUGUUGGCUUAGAAGCAGCCAUCAUUUAAAGAAAGCGUAAUAGCUCACUGGUCGAGUCGGCCUGCGCGGAAGAUGUAACGGGGCUAAACCAUGCACCGAAGCUGCGGCAGCGAACGUAUCACCCAAGACAACUUUACGGAGUUGACGAUUGACGGAGCGAAGCGACGUCAAAGCGUUCAUUAAAGUCGAGUUGGCUUAGGGAUACGUUCGUUGGGUAGGGGAGCGUUCUGUAAGCCUGUGAAGGUGUGUCGUGAGGCAUGCUGGAGGUAUCAGAAGUGCGAAUGCUGACAUAAGUAACGAUAAAGCGGGUGAAAAGCCCGCUCGCCGGAAGACCAAGGGUUCCUGUCCAACGUUAAUCGGGGCAGGGUGAGUCGACCCCUAAGGCGAGGCCGAAAGGCGUAGUCGAUGGGAAACGGGUUAAUAUUCCCGUACUUGGUGUUACUGCGAAGGGGGGACGGAGAAGGCUAUGUUGGCCGGGCGACGGUUGUCCCGGUUUAAGCGUGUAGGUGUGUGUUCCAGGUAAAUCCGGUUCACUUUAACACUGAGGCGUGACGACGAGGCACUACGGUGCUGAAGCAACAAAUGCCCUGCUUCCAGGAAAAGCCUCUAAGCAUCAGGUAACAUCAAAUCGUACCCCAAACCGACACAGGUGGUCAGGUAGAGAAUACCAAGGCGCUUGAGAGAACUCGGGUGAAGGAACUAGGCAAAAUGGUGCCGUAACUUCGGGAGAAGGCACGCUGACACGUAGGUGAAGUGAUUUACUCAUGGAGCUGAAGUCAGUCGAAGAUACCAGCUGGCUGCAACUGUUUAUUAAAAACACAGCACUGUGCAAACACGAAAGUGGACGUAUACGGUGUGACGCCUGCCCGGUGCCGGAAGGUUAAUUGAUGGGGUCAGCGCAAGCGAAGCUCCUGAUCGAAGCCCCGGUAAACGGCGGCCGUAACUAUAACGGUCCUAAGGUAGCGAAAUUCCUUGUCGGGUAAGUUCCGACCUGCACGAAUGGCGUAAUGAUGGCCAGGCUGUCUCCACCCGAGACUCAGUGAAAUUGAACUCGCUGUGAAGAUGCAGUGUACCCGCGGCAAGACGGAAAGACCCCGUGAACCUUUACUAUAGCUUGACACUGAACAUUGAGCCUUGAUGUGUAGGAUAGGUGGGAGGCUUUGAAGUGUGGACGCCAGUCUGCAUGGAGCCGACCUUGAAAUACCACCCUUUAAUGUUUGAUGUUCUAACGUGGACCCGUAAUCCGGGUUGCGGACAGUGUCUGGUGGGUAGUUUGACUGGGGCGGUCUCCUCCUAAAGAGUAACGGAGGAGCACGAAGGUUGGCUAAUCCUGGUCGGACAUCAGGAGGUUAGUGCAAUGGCAUAAGCCAGCUUGACUGCGAGCGUGACGGCGCGAGCAGGUGCGAAAGCAGGUCAUAGUGAUCCGGUGGUUCUGAAUGGAAGGGCCAUCGCUCAACGGAUAAAAGGUACUCCGGGGAUAACAGGCUGAUACCGCCCAAGAGUUCAUAUCGACGGCGGUGUUUGGCACCUCGAUGUCGGCUCAUCACAUCCUGGGGCUGAAGUAGGUCCCAAGGGUAUGGCUGUUCGCCAUUUAAAGUGGUACGCGAGCUGGGUUUAGAACGUCGUGAGACAGUUCGGUCCCUAUCUGCCGUGGGCGCUGGAGAACUGAGGGGGGCUGCUCCUAGUACGAGAGGACCGGAGUGGACGCAUCACUGGUGUUCGGGUUGUCAUGCCAAUGGCACUGCCCGGUAGCUAAAUGCGGAAGAGAUAAGUGCUGAAAGCAUCUAAGCACGAAACUUGCCCCGAGAUGAGUUCUCCCUGAGAC